rnacentral:rRNA from 1 species
GACGAACGCUGGCGGCGUGCCUAAUACAUGCAAGUAGAACGCCGUCGCGAACGGGGGAGUAAAGCGUAGGUAACUGCCUCAUAGCGGGGGAUAACUAUUGGAAACGAUAGCUAAUACCGCAUACUGUGAGAUGGACCUGCGUUGUAUUAGCUAGUUGGUGCGGUAAAUGUUCACCAAGGCGACGAUACAUAGCCGACCUGAGAGGGAGAGUGAGCAACAUGGGACGGAGACACGGCCCCAGAUCCGACGGGAGGGAGCAGUAGGGAAUUUUCGGCAAAGGGCGGAAGUCUGACCGCGGACAGCCGCGGUGGAGAAGAAGGUUUUCGGAGCGUAAAGGUAUGUGGUGAGAGAAGCGUUACCUAACGAGAAAGGGACGGCUAACUACGUGCCAGCAGCCGCGGUAAUUC